UAGAGCAGGGCACCUUUGCUUGAGAUAGUUUCCAAGCCUUAUAUAAAAACCGGUAUUGAAGCAGUAGAGCAUGCAGCAGAAAUACGAAGAUUGGUUCGGUAUUUGGAAGUGAGCAAUGGCAAUAUGAAAACUUUCUCUAUACUAACAGUUGGUGGGUGCCUUCAGUAUCUAAAUCUACUACCAGCAAAAGUACAUAAUUCAAGGUUCACCCCAUGAUGUACAAGCACACAUAUAGUGGAGGUCAUGGUUCUCUAUGAAUUUUGACAGCAAAGCUGCAAAGGCUUCUCGAUAGUGCAAUAUGAAGACAAGAUCCAUGGGUGUGAAGAAUUCCACUAAGAAAACUAUUAGAAGGAAUCAUAAAUAAGUGGCAAAAAAGAAGGUGGAACUCUUGGAGUCCAGAAUCUGGCACAUUUUCUUGCAACAGCCAAAUUUAUGGGAUCUCCAAGCUCCCAUUUAGAUUUGUGGCUUUAGUAUGAGAUUGGGUUCUAUUUUGAUGUGAAGUAUUUUGAGCACAUCGCUUGAUAGUAAAUUUGAUGAUGUUGAUAAGUUCCUUUCUGCAUUCACAAUGAUUGAUGAGAAUGAACAUUAAACCUAUAUCUACAUUAAUUUGAAUAAACAAGUAAGUUUCUAUAAGAUUCCUUAGUGGUGUCACUUUGUGUAUGUUCUAUUAUGUUGUCAUUAAUUAUUCAUUUUAAUUAUGCCUGUCUAAAUAUUUUAUAUCUGAUUUGGUUAGUAAGCAUGUCCCCAAGACUUUAAAUGUCCUCAUGAAGGAACUGUAGAUCAUUCUAGAUUAUCAAGGGA